GGGCGCUUAGCUCAGGGGUUCAGAGCACCUGCCUUACAAGCAGGGGGUCAUAGGUUCAAAUCCUAUAGCGCCCA
rnacentral:tRNA from 1 species